rnacentral:lncRNA from 1 species
CCCAUACUUCAUACGUGGGACCCGGUGGGAGGUAAUUGAAUCACGGGGGCGGGUCUUUCCGGUGCUGUUCUUGCGAUAGUGAGUAAGUCUCACGAGAUCUGAUGGUUUUAUAAAGGGGGUUCCCCUGCACACUUGCACGCUCUUGCCGUGACUUUGCUCCUCGUUUGCCUUCCGCCAUGAUUGUGAGGCCUCCCCAGCCACGUGGAACUGUGAGUCCACUAAGCUUCUCCCCUUGAUAAAUUACCCAGCCUCGGGUAUGUCUUUAUUAGCAGCGUGAGAACAGACUAAUACAGAAGGGAAGAAGGCAAGAAUAUCUCUCCAGCAACCCAAUUAAAAAUCUCAGGACAGUUCAGGCCCCUGGAGGCUUUUACUUGAGUCAAAUCCUCAGGAAGGCCAGCACUGCUCCUGUAAAUCACUGUCUUCCUCCUGGGAUGGAAAGGGACCAGGAAGCCAGAGUGCCCAGCGUGCCAGGGUUUCACUGCCAGAUGUCUAGAAGGCCACAUCCAACCGAGAUGCCCAAUUCCAAAAACGUCCACAAGUCAGGAGGGGGCAAAAUUAGAGCCAGAAAUGAGUCUGGAGCUACAUGGACCUAGGAAGAAUAUUUAGAAGCCCUGCCCUCAUGAACUGGGAAGGAAGAAAAGACACCUUCCCCCACAACGCCACAGGAGCUAUCAAAUGUGCUCUUUUUAAAGUCAUUUCUAUUCUUUAAAAAAAUGCACCAUUGUGGUGCAGCCACUGUGAAAAGCAGCAUGGCGCUUCCUCAAACAAUUAAAAACAGAAUUACUCUGUGAUCUAACAAUUCCAAAAUGUGUACGGCCAUGUCCAUUUUAGCAUUAGUCACGAUACCCAAAAGGUGGAGGCAAGCCAGUGUCCACUGAAGCCUGAAGGGAUCAACAAAAUCUGGUAUAUACAUGCAAUGGAGUGUGGUUCCACCUAGAAAAGGAGGGAAAUUCUGGCACCUGCUACACAGGGGUGAACUCGAAGACAUUAUGCCAAGUGAAAUAAGCUGGUCACAAAAGGACAAAUACUGCGUGAUUCCAUUCAUAGGAGGUGCCUAGAGGAGUCAAGAUCACAGAGACAGAAAGAAUAGUGGUGUCAGCGACUGGGGAGUUAGCGUUUGAUGGGCACAGGGUUUGUUUUGCAAGAGGAAGAGGUUCUGGAGAUUGUUUGCACGGCACUGUGGAGCUGCUCAACCCUACUGAGUUGUACACUUAAAAGUGGUUAAGAUGGUACAUUUCACAUUAUGUGUAUUUUUACCACAAUUGAAUUAUUUUUUAAAUGCACCCAUUUUAAAUGGAUAAUUCCCUGUGCUUUGACAAAUAUAACACCACCAACUAAAACAGAGAUGUUCCUCUCACUCUACUAAGUUCCCUCAUGCCCUUUUGCAGUCUGUAUUAUUUCUAAACAUCCUAUUGGAUUAAAAUUUAAUUAAGUAGAAAUGAUAUCUCCAAUGCCCUGGGUCUGCUCCAAGCCUAAAAUCUCUGAGGCUACCAGGAGCCAUUUCACAUGCAGGUCCCCUUCUGCCCGGGGCCCACGGGCCUUUCCCGAGGUGUCUGUGGGGGUUUACAGGGGCAGGGAGGCACCAUAGGAAGGAUAUUUGCUUUGGCUUCUUCAAGUCUAAUGAACGCCAAGGUAUUGAAUGUAACAACAUUAAAGCUUCUCCUCCUCACACACAUACACGUGCACACACACAUGCACAUGUGUGCAUACACACGUGCGCGCAGACCCCCCACCCCCCAGCAGCUACCAGCCUCUUAGCUCAGUCUUCUAUGCACUAUAAAUUUGCCAAGCCAGAUUGCUCUUCUCAGCCACCCCUACACCUGGCACCUAUGCCCAACCGGGAAUCUGUCCCCUGGGGCUCUUCACCUAAACGAGGGCUGCCCUGGGAGAGUGGACUCAGACCAGCCCCCCAGGGCCUUGGCCCCCUGCUUUCAAAUCCCUUGACUUUUGCCCAUUAAGAUUUGUCAGUGAACAUCGUCCCCUGGUGGAAAAUCUAGGACAUAACAAAUAUGUAUCUGAGCUUCUGCGGUAUUUCCUAGAAUUUAUUCAUUCCAAAAUAUUUGCGAGGGAAAUAACUUUUCGGUGGAGAAAUCCAGAAGACGCAGCCUUAACCAAGGGUUCAAGGUUAAUGUCAUCUGUAAGAUGAUACGAUGACAUCUCGAACCCUCCCAACACUAAUGCAUUGGGAAGGACGUUGUCACUUCCAUGGUGUUCUUGUCCCAAGAUGCAUAACCACAAUUUCACCACUAGAAAAUAUCAGACUAACCCAAGUUGAGAGACCAAAUAACUACAAAAUAACUGACCAGUCGGUUUUGGGCUGUUCACCCAAACGAGAGCUCAAACAAGAACAGUUCUGUCAAAGUCACAAAGCAAUAAGGAAAGACGGAGGAUUGGUCACAGAUCAGAGGAGACGAAGGAGACGUGAUGAGUGAACGCCAUGUGGGGUCCCAGAUUGGACCCUGGAUCAGGAAAACGACCUCAUGGGAAAACGUGCAAUCUGAGCAAAGGCUGAGGUCGAGUUUACGGUGAUGCACAAAUGUCCAUUUCUUAGUCCUCAUUCUUGUCCUGUGACGAUGCAAGAUGUCAACACCAGGGGGAGACGAGUGAAGGGUAUACAGGAAUCUCUGUGCUGCCUUUGUAACUUUUCUGUAAGUGCAAAAUUAUUUCAAAAUAAAAC